rnacentral:rRNA from 1 species
GACGAACGCUGGCGGCGUGCUUAACACAUGCAAGUCGAACGAAGUGGCGAACGGGUGAGUAACGCGUAAUCAACCUGCCCUUCAGAGGGGGACAACAGUUGGAACCGACUGCUAAUAACGCAUACUGAAGGAGGGGAGUGCGUCUGAUUAGCUAGUUGGCGGGGUAACGGCCCACCAAGGCGAUGAUCAGUAGCCGGUCGUAGAGGAUGAACGGCCACAGUGGGACUGAGACACGGCCCAGACUCCUACGGGAGGCAGCAGGGGGGAAUCUUCCGCAAUGGAAGAAAGUCUGACGGAGCAACGCCGCGUGAGUGAUGACGGCCUUCGGGUUGUAAAGCUCUGUUAAUCGGGACGCGGUACCGGAAUAGAAAGUCACGGCUAACUACGUGCCAGCAGCCGCGGUAAUUC